rnacentral:rRNA from 1 species
UACAGAGGUCCCGAGCGUUGUUCGGAUUCAUUGGGCGUAAAGGGUGCGUAGGCGGUUUGCUAAGUUUGAUGUGAAAGCCCGGGGCUCAACCCUGGAAUUGCAUUGAAUACUGGCGGACUAGAGUACUGGAGAGGAAACUGGAAUUUACGGUGUAGCAGUGAAAUGCGUAGAGAUCGUAAGGAAGACCAGUGGCGAAGGCGAGUUUCUGGACAGUUACUGACGCUGAGGCACGAAGGCCAGGGGGAGCAAACGGG